rnacentral:rRNA from 1 species
AGAGUUUGAUCCUGGCUCAGGAUGAACGCUGGCGGCGCGCCUAAUACAUGCAAGUCGAGCGAACUGAUUAGAAGCUUGCUUCUAUGACGUUAGCAGCGGACGGGUGAGUAACACGUGGGCAACCUGCCUGUAAGACUGGGAUAACUUCGGGAAACCGAAGCUAAUACCGGAUAGGAUCUUCUCCUUCAUGGGAGAUGAUUGAAAGAUGGUUUCGGCUAUCACUUACAGAUGGGCCCGCGGUGCAUUAGCUAGUUGGUGAGGUAACGGCUCACCAAGGCAACGAUGCAUAGCCGACCUGAGAGGGUGAUCGGCCACACUGGGACUGAGACACGGCCCAGACUCCUACGGGAGGCAGCAGUAGGGAAUCUUCCGCAAUGGACGAAAGUCUGACGGAGCAACGCCGCGUGAGUGAUGAAGGCUUUCGGGUCGUAAAACUCUGUUGUCAGGGAAGAACAAGUACGAGAGUAACUGCUCGUACCUUGACGGUACCUAACCAGAAAGCCACGGCUAACUACGUGCCAGCAGCCGCGGUAAUACGUAGGUGGCAAGCGUUAUCCGGAAUUAUUGGGCGUAAAGCGCGCGCAGGCGGUUUCUUAAGUCUGAUGUGAAAGCCCACGGCUCAACCGUGGAGGGUC